UACGUAGGUGGCAAGCGUUGUUCGGAUUCAUUGGGCGUAAAGGGUGCGUAGGUGGCGCCAUAAGUCAGGUGUGAAAUCUCGGGGCUCAACCCCGAAACUGCACUUGAUACUGUGGUGCUCGAGUACUGGAGAGGAGAUUGGAAUUUACGGUGUAGCAGUGAAAUGCGUAGAUAUCGUAAGGAAGACCAGUGGCGAAGGCGAAUCUCUGGACAGUUACUGACACUGAGGCACGAAGGCCAGGGGAGCAAACGGG
rnacentral:rRNA from 1 species